rnacentral:rRNA from 1 species
AACGAACCGUGCGAACGUUAUUCGGAAUCACUGGGCUUAAAGCGCGUGUAGGCGGGACGGCACGUCGGUCGCUGAAAUCCCCCGGCUCAACCGGGGAACGGGCGCCGAUACGACCGCCCUGGAGGGGCGUAGGGGGAUCGGGAACUUCCGGUGGAGCGGUGAAAUGCGUUGAGAUCGGAAGGAACGCCCGUGGCGAAAGCGCGGUCCUGGACGCUUACUGACGCUGAGACGCGAAAGCCAGGGGAGCGAACGGG